UUGAGAAGAUAAUGAGAAGAAAUUAAAAUAGAAGAAGAAGAGAACAUGAUGCUGAGAACAGAAUGAAAAAUUUAGGUUGAAAGCAGGAAUUUGGUCAGAAGAGAAUGAGAAAUUGACAUGAAAUAAGAAUGAGAAGUUGACAAGAAAUCAUGAGUUUAGGAAAUAGAGAUAAAUGAAUGAUGAUGGAAAAAGAAUAAAAAAUUUUUUGACAGAUAUCUAAAUGUCUUCAUUGUUAUAGAAAUAUAAGAUAAAAUUGGAAGACCGUAAGUGAAGAACGAAAAUUAUUAACAUUAUAGCAUGAAAAAUGAAGUAGAAAAUUAAAAGAAGAUAAAUAUAAGAAUCAAAAAUAGUAACAAAUGUUGAAAAAUGCCGAAUUUUAAAUCACUUACAGCGUUUACUGGCCCCUCGUUUGGCUUUGGUUGGUAACGUAAGAAAGCAGGCAAAAGUCGAAAGCUCCACUUCCUCAAGAUUGACUUUGCCUGAACACAGGCGGGACGCUGCCCGAGAAAUUCGAGGCAAAUUUAUUAACACCAAACACUUGCCAGGUGCCGUCAUCCGCCGCAACCAAAACCCGCCCCAUCCCUGUGCACCUGCCAUCGAUAAAUACAUAGUUUGUCUUUUCCGUGGUGGUGUAUGCCCGGUUCAUUGAAGGCCCUCUCACGUGCCCGAGUGUGGAGAGACAUAAAUUAUAUCGAAUUUCAUUUUCCAUACCGAGAGCAUGUAUUAUAGGACGAUGCUACGGAUGCUCUCGAAGGCACACGAAGACGAUUCCUUAAGGAUAAUUUUCGACUAUAGGUGUGGCUGAGAUGUUUCUGACGUGGGUUUCAAGUGUCAACAAAAGGAUUUUAUUCGAGCUGAAGCAGGACUUGAUUAAUUGGAAUACCUUCAGGUUUUGAUUGAGCGGCAAUUGUGUAAUCGCUUCUGGUGGUAAACCUAUUUCGUUUGUACGGUCGUUCUAUUGUAACUGACUUCAGCCUGUCUAACUUGCUUUACGGGACACUGUUCCGAAUUAAGACACACGAACCAUCACCGGUAGGAACUUCCGAAAAAUCAAACACAAAUAUUUUACUUUUAAUAACAAGCAUCGAAUCUGUCUUCCAGAAGAUUGCGCACGAACCGUGAGCCAAUGUUCGCAGGCGGCCAAUGCAGAGGAGCGAGAGAGAACAAGUUCGCCCGGAUGAAGACCGUGUGUCAUUUCUGGUCCCAAUUUCCGAGUACGCCAGAAGCGAAAGUAAGAUCUGAUGUGCGGUGACGGUGGCGGUGCUGUUUUCAUUUAAGAUUAAUUUUCUAAUUACAUAAAAUCACAAUCGGUACAUUCCUGCACCCGGCCUGGCCGUAAGACGACCGACCCAAGAAACGAGAGGAACGAUGAAGACGUACCCGAGCAUCAGCUCGCAUGGAAAAUGGGUCUGGUGCAUUCCAGACCAGACUGACGUAUGUGAGCCGGAGCAUCUUUGGAUGAAAAUUAAUCUCGAUUUCGAGUUUACCGUAAUUCUCGGUCGGUACGAAGAAAGCAGCACACACUUUGCCCCGAGGGCGCGAGCAAGCAGCUGAACAAACAGGAGCUCGGUGCAAAUUUCGGCAAACGCAACCUCCAACCAAAGUUUAACUAUUCUGAUUGACUGACAUGCGAGCAAGGCCAAACUUUCGAAACUUGGCGGAGGGAUCAAACAUUCACCUAAAUGUGUUCAAUUCUGGUUAAUCUUGCCAUGCUCAAGAAACGCGAGCAAUGCCAUUAUAGAGUAUCUAUAUAAAUAUUUCAUAAACAUACACAUUCACCAAGACGAAACACAAAAUAACAAAAAGCACUUCAUGCGCCCGUUUGCAAUCCAUAUUCAUAAAUAGAGCCGUUCCGGGUGUUCCGCAGUCCAAAAUCAUGAUUUAUGUAUCGCCGAAAUCAAUUCCAACAUACCUGAAAUGCUUUUCACUUCCCUGCUGUCUCCGGCACCCAGAAUAGACAACAGCCUGACGAGGAAUCAUUGAGUAAACAUUGGCAUCGCAGGGGGAUGGGUUUCGUAACAGAAGGCAAGCGGAAAUGCCACCGUAUAAGAAGGUUACGUAACUUUUGUCUUCCAGCCAUACGUCACGAGCACGACGCCGAAAUGCACCUUUAUUGCCAAUUCAGGAUGAGAAUAAAGAUUUUACAAACAUUUCUCCCCGGAUUCUUGAUGGCUGGCUGAUGGUUUCGAACUCGAACUGGAAAAGCCAUUCGCCAUAGACAGUCGUCAUCCGCUAACGAAGUCGAAUAAAAUAUGAGAGAUGACAGGCAGGGAACGUUACCCCAGCCUGCCACCGUUAUCACCCGCC